CGACAUUAGAUGUUAUAUACAGAUAUCUACAUAUUUAAACCCAAAAGCAAAAAAAUAGGAUAUGGUGUUUGACCCAGUUUAAACUUUUUGGUCCAUGUAUAUAUAUAAACUUUCAGAAAAUUUUACUAAUUAUAUGUACUUAGAUAAUUAAAAACAUAAUAUAUAGAUAUACAUACACACACACACAUAUAUACGUACUCUGUAACUUUGGUGCUUUCACUUCACCACCACCACCUCCCGGCAAUCCCAAACACAGCUCCGUCUCUUUCAGAUUCCGUUAACGCUCCGCAGGCAACCAUACUCGCAAUUUUCUGGCUCACCAAUUCUUACCUCAGAUCUAUUCUCUCCUUUCUGUGGUUGAUAUCUUCUUCUUCUUCUUCUUCUUCUUCUUGCUGUGUCUUCGUGAUCUUCUUCUUUCUAAACGAUAUGAAGGAAAACACAAGGAGAGAACCACCACAAUAAUAUAAAGAGGUUUACAUAUAAUUGUAACCAUCAACAUGAAUCUAAAGAUGAAAUUUAGCAUAGGACGUAAUUUUAAUUUGUUUGAUAAAAUAAUAAUACCAAAUAACCCAUUUUUUAAAAAAUAAUCCGAUAAGGAAUCAUUUAAAUUAAAUUAAAUUUAAAAGAUUUAAGCAUAUAUAUACAUAUAUACACACACACACACACACGUACGUAAUAUUAAAAAUUCAUAUAUCAUGAUAUUAUCAUUGUAAAGACAAACCCAUUUACAAAUUGUUUUCAACUCUAAUGAAAAAAUCAUGUUCAAAUUUAUAGGUAAAAAUUUUGGUUCAAUAUAUUUUUAUUAAUCUUUUUUAAAUAUAUUUAAUUGUCAAUUCAUAAGUCAUUUCAAAACCAGUUAGAUAAUUUGAUUGAGUAGCUAAUUUGUAUUAAUUAGUAGUCAAUUAAUAUUUGAUUAAUUGCAUACCCUGAUGAUGAAAUUGAUGAAAAAAACAGCAGGACUUGGAUGGCUCUUGAUUUUUGACCCAUCUAAUCUCCAUCAUAAUCAUAUAUAUAAUAUAUAUAUUUCAAUGAAAAAAAAUAAAGAAAAUAGCAUACAUAUUAUUUUAUAAUUAAUUGCUUAAGCUCACUCUCUUUUUC
rnacentral:lncRNA from 1 species